GACAAAGUUUUCGGACUCGGCUCGACUCUCCCACCCUUUGUGAACGUACCUCUGUUGCUUUGGCGGCUCCGGCCGCCAAAGGACCUUCAAACUCCAGUCAGUAAACGCAGACGUCUGAUAAACAAGUUAAUAAACUAAAACUUUCAACAACGGAUCUCUUGGUUCUGGCAUCGAUGAAGAACGCAGCGAAAUGCGAUAAGUAAUGUGAAUUGCAGAAUUCAGUGAAUCAUCGAAUCUUUGAACGCACAUUGCGCCCCUUGGUAUUCCGGGGGGCAUGCCUGUUCGAGCGUCAUUACAACCCUCAAGCUCUGCUUGGAAUUGGGCACCGUCCUCACUGCGGACGCGCCUCAAAGACCUCGGCGGUGGCUGUUCAGCCCUCAAGCGUAGUAGAAUACACCUCGCUUUGGAGCGGUUGGCGUCGCCCGCCGGACGAACCUUCUGAACUUUUCUCAAGGUUGACCUCGGAUCAGGUAGGGAUACCCGCUGAACUUAAGCAUAUCAAUAGCCGGGAGGAAACCUUGGUACAACUUUUACUUCCUCUAAGUGACAAAACCCCUCGCCUCUUAGGAAGGGGACCCCCCCUUAAAAAGGAGGAAACGG
rnacentral:rRNA from 1 species